ACUCCUACGGGAGGCAGCAGUAGGGAAUCUUCCGCAAUGGACGAAAGUCUGACGGAGCAACGCCGCGUGAACGAUGAARGCCUUCGGGUCGUAAAGUUCUGUUGUUAGGGAAGAACAAGUAUCGGAGUAACUGCCGGUACCUUGACGGUACCUAACCAGAAAGCCACGGCUAACUACGUGCCAGCAGCCGCGGUAAUA
rnacentral:rRNA from 1 species